GUCUAUUAUGGAGGUAUUAAUAGUCUGGCCUGCUCCCUGACUAUUGUUAAAGAGCCGCGGUAAUUUGACCGUGCAAAGGUAGCAUAAUCAUUAGUUUCUUAAUUGGAAACUUGUAUGAAAGGUCUGACAAAGAAAAAGCUGUCUUUAUUAUAAAUAUUGAAUUUAACUUUUAAGUGAAAAGGCUUAAAUGUUUUAGAGGGACGAUAAGACCCUAUAAAGCUUUAUAUGAAAGCUAAUUGGAAUUAAAUUUAUAAUAAAAAUUCAAAUUAAUUAUCAUAAUUUAUUGGGGUGAUAUUGAUAAAAAUAAUAUUAACUGUUAAAAAAAAAUACAUAAAUGAAAGAGUUAGGAAGUUGAUGAUCCUUAGUUUAAGAUUAAAAGAUUAAGUUACUUUAGGGAUAACAGCGUAAUUUUUCUUGAGAGUUCAUAUCGAAAGAAAAGAUUUCGACCUCGAUGUUGAAUUAAGAUAUCUAUGUAAAGCAGCUAUUACAUAAGAGGGUCUGUUCGACCCUUAAAUUCUUACAUGAUUUGAGUUCAGACCGGCGUGAG
rnacentral:rRNA from 1 species